CGGGAUAUGGCGCAGUUUGGCAGCGCGCCUCGUUCGGGGCGAGGAGGUCGUGGGUUCGAAUCCCACUAUCCCGA
rnacentral:tRNA from 2 species